UAACGAUAAGGGGGGUGAAAAACCCCCCCGCCGGAAGACCAAGGUUUCCUGCGCAACGCUAAUCGGCGCAGGGUUAGUCGGCCCCUAAGGCGAGGGCGAAAGCCGUAGUCGAUGGGAAACAGGUUAAUAUUCCUGUACUUGUAUUUAUUGCGAUGGAGGGACGGAGUAGGCUAGGCCAGCGCGGCGAUGGUUGUCCGCGUUUAAGCAUGUAGGCUGGGGAUUUAGGUAAAUCCGGAUCCCUAAGGCUGAGACGUUAUGACGAACCGAUCCAACGUGAUCGGGAAGUGGUUGAUGCCAUGCUUCCAGGAAAAGCCUCUAAACUUAUGAAUAUGUGAACCGUACCCCAAACCGACACAGGUGGUCAGGUA
rnacentral:rRNA from 14 species